rnacentral:rRNA from 1 species
UAGCCACGGUAAUACCAGCCCCUGCGAGUGGUCGGGACGUUUUAUUGGGGCCUAAAAGCGUCCGUAGCCGGCCCGGUAAGUCCUCCCUCAAAAGCCCCCGGGCUCAACCCGGGGAAGGGGAGGGAUACUGCCGGGCUAGGGGGCGGGAGAGGCCGGGGGUACGUCCCGGGGUACGGGGCGGAAAUCCGUUAAUCCCGGGAGGACCACCAGUGGCGAAGGC